GGGGAUCGAAAGACCUGGCGUUAUUCGAGCGGCCGAUGUCUGAUUAGCUAGUUGGUGAGGUAAAGGCUCACCAAGGCGACGAUCAGUAGCGGGUCUGAGAGGAUGAUCCGCCACACUGGGACUGAGACACGGCCCAGACUCCUACGGGAGGCAGCAGUGGGGAAUUUUGGACAAUGGGGGCAACCCUGAUCCAGCCAUGCCGCGUGUCUGAAGAAGGCCUUCGGGUUGUAAAGGACUUUUGUUAGGGAGCAAGUCCUGCAGGUUAAGAGCUAGUAGGGAUGAGAGUACCUAAAGAAUAAGCACCGGCUAACUACGUGCCAGCAGCCGCGGUAAUACGUAGGGUGCAAGCGUUAAUCGGAAUUACUGGGCGUAAAGGGUGGGCAGGCGGUAUUGUAUGCCAGAAG
rnacentral:rRNA from 1 species